GAUGAACGCUGGCGGCGUGCCUAAUACAUGCAAGUCGAGCGAACAGAUGAGGAGCUUGCUCCUCUGACGUUAGCGGCGGACGGGUGAGUAACACGUGGAUAACCUACCUAUAAGACUGGGAUAACUUCGGGAAACCUGAGCUAAUACCGGAUAAUAUAUUGAACCGCAUGGUUCAAUAGUGAAAGACGGUUUUGCUGUCACUUAUAGAUGGAUCCGCGCCGGAUUAGCUAGUUGGUAAGGUAACGGCUUACCAAGGCAACGAUGCGUAGCCGACCUGAGAGGGUGAUCAGCCACACUGGAACUGAGACACGGUCCAGACUCCUACGGGAGGCAGCAGUAGGGAAUCUUCCGCAAUGGGCGAAAGCCUGACGGAGCAACGCCGCGUGAGUGAUGAAGGUCUUCGGAUCGUAAAACUCUGUUAUUAGGGAAGAACAAAUGUGUAAGUAACUAUGCACGUCUUGACGGUACCUAAUCAGAAAGCAACGGCUAACUACGUG
rnacentral:rRNA from 1 species